AAAAACUACACAUAGCCAUUGCUUAAGAAACUUCAUUUUUGUUUUUCUAAACACCCUUACGUAAAAUGAGUUCCAACAACACCAACAUUCAGAAGGCCAUUUGCCCUACAAAACCGCCACCUACGAGCACUGCCUCAACUUCUUCAUCAAGCUCCCGUGGAAAGAAGCCACCAACUACGAAGGACAUAUUUUAUCCCAAGAAUAGAUGAUUUUCUAAAGGUUAACGUAGAAGAAGGUUGAUAUAAAUUGGAAGAAGUGAUACUAAAAAUAACAGAAGCAUGCUGUGCUGUGGUUUAUUGUAGUCACUUUUUUUUACUUUAUUUGUUUUUCCGUGCUCCUGCACUUAGGGUUUCCUUCUCUCUUUUUUUUCAUCUAAUUAUGGCGAUUACAAUUGCACAGUUCGUAAUCCCAUAUUUACCAACCAAAUAGUCCGUGUCUUUUUCUUUUGGUUUGUGUGUUUUGUACUCAUCUGAAAUUAAAGUUCAGCCAAUGUACGAGGUAUGACAAGUAAUAAACAAA
rnacentral:sRNA from 1 species